GCCAGGGAGUCUGCAUUGUGGAUACUAUGUAUGUGCUUUCAUCAGUAACACAAAAGGCUACAGGAGACACCCUGAAUUGUGGAAAGAAGAAAAAGGACUAAAAAGGGAUGUCUACAGGGAUGAUGACCUCUUAGAGAUUGUCGGUGACCUUUGCAACUUUAUAAUGGACCAUGUUGUUUAUUACAAAGGUGAUUACCAUAACCCACAGUCCGACUUAGGUAGCAAUCCUCUUUACCAGCACCUCCGUCAGUGGGAUAGGCUAUGUCUAGGUCGUUGAUUACAUGUGAACUUGUUGGAAUGGACUGUGAUCGAUUUGUAUUAGUACCUGAAAAAUUUCGGACUCUUUUGGAUGGAUUUGGACAUGGAAA